rnacentral:lncRNA from 10 species
CUGAGAAUGCGCAGGCGCAGGCGCUCGAGUUGCUGGGAGCCAUAGACCUCGAAGCUGGGGCGUCUGACACCUGAGGCCCGAAGUAGGUGGCCAGCUUCUUAGAGGGCCAACCCAGGGCAUUAACACACCAGGAUAGUGGCCGCAGUUGUAUUAUCUUGUGCAUUUGUCAAGAGAGGUCAUCCGAACGCUGAGAUAAAGGCUUGGGAUUCCAUUGUCUCAUCUCUUUCUGGGAGUGAUUUUCCUCUCAUCUGGAAGUGCAGAGACAGAGUCUUCAUAGGGAACUGAGAUUACCUCCAAAAAACAUUUGUGAAGUGAGCAAUUCCUAGAAGGCUGUUAAUGUUGAUUAAUGAAAUUAUACAAAAAGAAUCAUAAGAUAGCUGGAGAAGAAAAUUAUCUGUGAUGCCUGGAAAAGAUACGUCCCAGUGGGAGGUAAGUACAGAAUCCUGAGUUCUGAGAUGUGAGGAAUUCAGUUGAGGUAAUGGUUCUACUAUAAUUGUGGCUACCAUUAAAUUUUUGUUUCUUCAAAUUAUGAUUUAUUUCUCUUCCUGAUAACAUUGAACAAUCAUAAAUGUGGAGGGAAAGGAAUCAUUGAGGGUUGAUUUAGAGAGAGUAAACAGGUGUAAAGCCAUGGUUCCUGUGUGUUUUAACAAAUACUAACUGAGCACCCGCCCUGUUGCAGAUGCAUUUCUAGAUGUGUGAACAAAGAAAUUUAUCUACCUUAAUUUGAAUUGAGAGAAGCAGACAAUAAAUAAUAAAGGAAAUGUUAUAAGUUACAUAGUGACUUAUAAGGUGUUAUAAGUUAUGUAACCUAUGUUACAUAUAUGUAACUUAUGCUAUAAGUUAUGUUAUAAGUUAUGUUAUAUACAAUAUAACAUAACAAGUUAUGUUAUAUAUGUUAUGUUAUAACUUAUGUUGACAGUCCUCAGAAGGUCUCCCUCUCCCUCUCCCGUCUCCCUCUCCC